UACGAAGGGGGCUAGCGUUGUUCGGAAUCACUGGGCUUAAAGGGCGCGUAGGCGGGUGACCAAGUCAGGGGUGAAAUCUUUCGGCCCAACCGGAAAAGUGCCUCUGAUACUGGUCGUCUUGAGGGAGGUAGGGGUCGAGGGAACUGGUGGUGGAGCGGUGAAAUGCGUAGAUAUCACUAGGAACGCCGGUGGCGAAAGCGCUCGACUGGACCUCUUCUGACGCUGAGGCGCGAAAGCCAGGGGAGCAAACGGG
rnacentral:rRNA from 1 species